AACGAACGCUGGCGGCAGGCUUAACACAUGCAAGUCGAGCGCGUAGCAAUACGAGCGGCAGACGGGUGAGUAACGCGUGGGAAUCUACCCAUCACUACGGAACAACUCCGGGAAACUGGAGCUAAUACCGUAUACGUCCUUCGGGAGAAAGAUUUAUCGGUGAUGGAUGAGCCCGCGUUGGAUUAGCUAGUUGGUGGGGUAAUGGCCUACCAAGGCGACGAUCCAUAGCUGGUCUGAGAGGAUGAUCAGCCACACUGGGACUGAGACACGGCCCAGACUCCUACGGGAGGCAGCAGUGGGGAAUAUUGGACAAUGGGCGCAAGCCUGAUCCAGCCAUGCCGCGUGAGUGAUGACGGCCCUAGGGUUGUAAAGCUCUUUCGCAGGUGAAGAUAAUGACGGUAACCUGAGAAGAAGCCCCGGCUAACUUCGUGCCAGCCGCCGCAGUAACAC
rnacentral:rRNA from 1 species